rnacentral:rRNA from 1 species
UACGUAGGGUGCAAGCGUUGUCCGGAAUUAUUGGGCGUAAAGGGUGCGUAGGUGGCAUGGAAAGUUUGAUGUGAAAGCUCAGGGCUUAACCCUGAAAUGGCAUUGAAUACUGCCGUGCUGGAGGUUUGGAGGGGGGACUGGAAUUCUUGGUGUAGCAGUGAAAUGCGUAGAUAUCAAGAGGAACACCAGUGGCGAAGGCGAGUCCCUGGACAACACCUGACACUGAGGCACGAAAGCUAGGGGAGCAAACAGG